rnacentral:rRNA from 1 species
UACGUAGGGGGCGAGCGUUGUCCGGAUUUAUUGGGCGUAAAGAGCUCGUAGGCGGCUUGGCAAGUCGGGUGUGAAACCUCCAGCUCAACCUGGAGACGCCACUCGAUACUGCCAUGGCUAGAGUCCGGUAGGGGACCACGGAAUUCCUGGUGUAGCGGUGGAAAUGACGCAGAUAUCAGGAGGAACACCGGUGGCGAAGGCGGUGGUCUGGGCCGGCACUGACGCUGAGGCGCGAAAGCGUGGGGAGCGAACAGG